GUCCCUCUACCUUCCUUACAUAUAACAAUCUCUCUUCAUUACAACAUAAGCUACUUCAUUUCGAUUCUAACAAGUUUCUUCUUCCCAAAAGAACCAAGUUUUGUCGAGAUGGAGAGGCUAAACUCGAAGCUGUACUUGCAAAACUGUUAUAUAAUAAAGGAGAACGAGAGGUUGAGGAAGAAAGCUCAGAUUCUGAACCAAGAGAAUCAACAACUUCUCUUCGAACUCAAACAAAAGCUCUCGAAAACCAAGAACUCUAGUGGAUCAAAUCAAGGAAACAACAACAACAACAACAACCUCUCUUCAUCAAGCUCUGCUUCUGGAUAAUCCUGAUGCAACAAAACUCUUUAGGACAAGACUUGGAUUCGGAUAAUUAGGAGAACCCAUCAUUUUUAUUUUUUAUUUUAUUGGUGUAAUGUAAGAAAAAUUAGCUAAGUAAUAGUGGUUAGUGGUAGUAUUAUUAAUUAUGGAGUAGUUUUUAUAUUUUUGUUGGGUUCUUCUAAUUAAAUUACUACAAAAAGGACAGAGUGUUGUAUGCUCUCUGGCCUAUCUUCUGAGGGAUAUUUUACUUUUGUUUCCAUUUAUAUGUUAAUUAGAUUUUCUAUUUUGCCUUUUCAUGUGGGGUUUGGUUGUUUAGGACAUGGUGGAUUCUGGGACUACAUUGUACCUUCUGCUCUUCUCUUAAACAACCAGUAUCUUUAAAUUA